rnacentral:lncRNA from 1 species
AUGGUCUUUAGGGUCCCUUCCAAGCCCAAGCACCCAGGGAUUCCAUCAUUCUAUGGUCUCCCUUGUCCACUUCAGCCUGGGCCUGGGCUCCUGGCAGUGAUGUCACAGUGCACACUCCAGCUAGAACUUCCAGCAUCCAGCAACAGCCACAACACAACCCUUGGCUUGUUGUGUCAGCACGCUCUUCACCCUGUUCCAAGGCUACCCCUGUCACCUUGUUGUCACACGCUCCCUGAUACCCCCAGCAGUCCCCAAAGCUCGCCAUUGUGUGCAUUUGGUUCUCCUUCCCUGCACGAUGUCGGCAUUUGCUCCAAAGAAGUCUGUCACAGCAGAGAGGAGGAGAUGGAGGUCGAUAUACAGAUUGAUAGAGAGGAGGACAUGGAAGUGGGCAGAGAGGAGACUCGAGAGGAAAAGAUGGAUGUGGAUGUGACAGAGAUGGAGGAAGAGAUGGAGGUGGAUACAAAGACUGAUAGAGAAGAAGACAUGGAAGUGGAUGGAGAGGAGACCGGAGAGGAAGAGAUGGAGAUCGAAAUGGAAGAGCACAUUGAGGAGAUGGAUAUUGAUGGAAAAGAUGAAGAGGAGGACAUGGUCUUGGGAUGAAGACUGAUGCCAGCAGCAGAACAGGCAGGUGUUCCCCACGGGCAGAGUGGGUCCCCUGCUGCCAGCCUGGGGCUGGGCUGGGAAGGGACAUGCUAGCCCAUGCACUGGAUUCUGGUGGCCAUCCCUGGCCUGGGCUUGCUUUGGGCCACACAAGCCCUGUUCCCGUGCCUGGGCCACAGCCCCCAGCCCCAGCCAGGCUCACUUCUGGCAGCAGAGUCCCACUGUGCCAGUGUCCCAGCCUGGCAUCACAUGGAACACCCCUCCAUGCCUGACUGCACUGACCGUGCUACUUGUUUUUCUUCCAGGACUGAGGCACAUCCUGGACACAGAUGCAACCUUCUGUAUAUACGUUUUAGAGAUGUUAUGUUCGCAAUAGAAGUUUUAGAGUUUGCUGUAGUGUUCUGUAAAUACGUUUCAUAUAGUUUGGUUAGAUAUGUUCUUAGGUAAAAAGGUUCUAUAGUUUGUUGUUGUUGUUACUAAUAUUCUUACAAUGUAAAUAUGUUGUGUAGUUCAUUCUUGUUCCUUUUCUUCUACAAAUAAACAAUCUUUGUUUUUCA